rnacentral:tRNA from 1 species
UAUAAAGGUGGCAGAAUUAAGUGCAUUAGGUUUAAGCCCUAAAUAUGAAGAUGAAAUUUCUUUUCUUUAUAA